UGACUGAGAUACUAGUGAGGCUAGAAUCCAGAUACAGAAAUACACGUAGUUUUGCCUUUUCAGCUAAAGCUCUUAAUGUAUAUUGCAUUAUAUAUUAGAGCUGUUCAGUUGUAGAUAUCUUGGUAAGUAAUAAAUGAUUUCACUUUAAGGAAUUACAGGUUUUUUUUUUUACAGCAGUUAAUUGACGGCUUCAAUUUUUCUCUAGGAGGAUCUGACACCCAAGGAUAUUGAAGAGAUUAUUGAUGAACUCAGAGCUGGGAAAGUUCCAAAACCAGGGCCAAGGAGUGGCCGCUUCUGUUGUGAGCCAGCCGGAGGCCUUACUUCUUUGACUGAACCACCCAAAGGACCUGGCUUUGGUGUGCAAGCAGGCCUUUAACUUACAUUCAACUGUAAAAAUGUCACUGGAGAAAUAAAAUAUGAACCUACUACAUG
rnacentral:lncRNA from 1 species